rnacentral:misc_RNA from 1 species
AACGCACCUUGCGCUCCUUGGUAUUCCGAGGAGCAUGCCUGUUUGAGUGUCAUUAAAUUCUCAACCCUUUCAGCUUUUGCGAGUUGAUUUGGCUUGGAUGUGGGGGUUGCGGGCUUCUCAGAAGUCGGCUCCUCUUAAAUGCAUUAGCGGAACCUUUGUGGACCAGCUUUGGUGUGAUAAUUAUCUACGCCAUGGCCGUGAAGCAGCUUUACAUGGGGUUCAGCUUCUAACCGUCCAUUGACUUGGACAAUUUCUGACAUUUUGACCUCAAAUCAGGUAGGACUACCCGCUGAACUUAA